rnacentral:rRNA from 1 species
GACAGAGGAUGCAAGCGUUAUCCGGAAUGAUUGGGCGUAAAGCGUCUGUAGGUGGCUUUUUAAGUCCGCUGUCAAAUCCCAGGGCUUAACCCUGGCCAGGCGGUGGAGACUACUAAGCUUGAGUACGGUAGGGGCAGAGGGAAUUUCCGGUGGAGCGGUGAAAUGCGUAGAGAUCGGAAAGAACACCAACGGCGAAAGCAACUCUGCUGGGCCGACACUGACACUGAGAGACGAAAGCUAGGGGAGCGAAUGGG